rnacentral:lncRNA from 1 species
GAUGAUCUCCGAGCUUGGGCGUGUUAUUAGGCAGAUGUUGCACUGCGAGGGCAUGUCAUUCAAUUGUAUUGCCUGAGCUCGUGUCGCGGAAGCUUAUGCGCACUCCCUGUUGCGAGGAGUUUGGAUCCGGUCGAUGAUACAUUUCUUGCAUGGGCUCGUGCUUGUGUUGAGGCUAGAGACGAGCUGCAGUGCUCGGGCGUCCUAUGCACGUAGUUUUGA